CUGAGCCGCACCUCACAAACCCUGUAACAGUUUUAGAAAAUUUUAUACACAGUGGAGAUGUUUGUUUUGCUUGUAAGUCUUAUGCAUACCACCAGCAAAAGGCUGUUCCCCUGGCUCUGAGAAAACUCUAGCAUAACCCAUAGGGCUAAAUGAAAGAUUCUCUGACUUCAAGUGUUCUCUGAAGACAGGGUGGGCUUCCUGCUUCACUAGCAACUCUUUCAAAAGAGCACAGUGUAUGUGAACUGGACAAGAAGAAACAGUUCGGUUUUUACCAUACCAUUAAACCGCGAGGCUGACUCAAGUUUAACUAACUGUCAAUUUAUUAGCGGGGAAGGACUUUGCCACCCCUUGUCCCCGACAUGUUCAUCUGAAGCAUGCGCAUUCUGAUGUUAAGUGACCCUUCCUUCCAAUGGGUGAUGACACAUUGACGGAAAUAACUCCAGCUGAAAUCCAUAACGAAAGCCCAGACCAAAAAAAAAAAAAAAAGAUGAAGACAACGGUGUGGUGUGGUGCUCUUUAAAACGUAUUCCAUAUAUGUACAAAACUUGUUUGCUUAAAUUCAGGAGGGAAAACAUCUCUUUAAGUUUAUCUGUGGCCACGUGACUAGGAUGAUUUUUUUUCCACGACUUGAACGUUCCAAUAAAAGACAGCCAUUCUAUAAAUAAGUGAAUACAAUAACUUCAACUCUUUGGAUUUCAAAUGGCUGAUUCGGAGAAGCAAGAGGAAGGAUUGUCCCGAAGGGAGGCCUCUGCACAAAAUAGCCAUUAUGGGACCCAGGAGAAAGAACACCAAAGGAGAAGUUUUAAAAGGAAAGAAAAGAGAUGGAGGAGGGAUGAGAAAGAGGGGGGGAGGAGAAAGGAGCAGACGCCCUCAGCUCCAGCGGAAGCAAUGCCAAGAAGCAACUAACCAAAACCAGACAGAAGUGAGGAAAGAAUAAGAUGGCUUGGACUCAGGCCGACGAAUGCGCAAGAGAAAAAUUCACAUGGCUUCAGAGAAGGGCUUGGCAUCUGGCUCAGAAAUUCAUGUGGAUGUAUGCACGUAGUUUUUAUUUCUGGAACCAUGUUUUGCAACUUCUUCCUGAAAAAGAUGUGUUAUUUUCCUUCAUUAAAAUAAUGGAAAGACCACCCCCAAUCUCCUCAACCCACCUCCCCCAACACUAAAGUUUUUUUUUUUUUUUAAAUACUUUCUUCUAGAUCACUUCUUAGAUUUUUCUAAGCCAAAUAAAAUACUAAAACUCCAAA